UACGGGGGGGGUAAGCGUUGUUCGGAAUUACUGGGCGUAAAGGGCUCGUAGGCGGCCAACUAAGUCAUACGUGAAAUCCCUCAGCUUAACUGGGGAACUGCGUGUGAUACUGGAUGGCUUGAGGUUGGGAGAGGGAUGCGGAAUUCCAGGUGUAGCGGUGAAAUGCGUAGAUAUCUGGAGGAACACCGGUGGCGAAGGCGGCAUCCUGGACCAAUUCUGACGCUGAGGAGCGAAAGCCAGGGGAGCAAACGGG
rnacentral:rRNA from 1 species